rnacentral:rRNA from 1 species
GAAUGCUCCCGGCUCAACUGGGAGAGGACGUUCAAAACUGUUGGACUAGAGGGCGGAAGAGGGAGGUGGAAUUCCCGGUGUAGUGGUGAAAUGCGUAGAUAUCGGGAGGAACACCAGUGGCGAAGGCGGCCUCCUGGGCCGCACCUGACGCUCAGACGCGAAAGCUAGGGUAGCAAACGGGAUUAGAAACCCCGGUAGUCCUAGCCGUAAACGAUGUAGACUUGGUGUUGGUGGGGUAAAAGCCAUCAGUGCCGGAGCAAACGCGAUAAGUCUACCGCCUGGGGACUACGACCGCAAGGUUAAAACUCAAAGGAAUUGACGGGGACCCGCACAAGCAGCGGAGCGUGUGGUUUAAUUCGAUGCAACGCGAAGAACCUUACCCGGGCUUGACAUGCGAGUGGUAGGGAAGUGAAAGCGGACCGACCCUUCGGGGAGUUCGCACAGGUGCUGCAUGGCUGUCGUCAGCUCGUGCCGUGAGGUGUCCGGUUAAGUCCGGUAACGAGCGCAACCCUUGCUGUAUGUUACAAGUGUCAUACGGGACUGCCGGUAUAAAGCCGGAGGAAGGUGGGGAUGACGUCAAGUCAGCAUGGCCUUUAUGUCCGGGGCUACACACACGCUACAAUGGUCAGUACAAUAGGUUGCAAAACUGCGAAGUGGAGCCAAUCCAUAAAGCUGGCCACAGUUCAGAUUGCAGGCUGCAACUCGCCUGCAUGAAGUCGGAGUUGCUAGUAACCGCGCGUCAGCAACAGUGCGGUGAAUACGUUCCCGGGUCUUGUACACACCGCCCGUCACGUCAUGGAAGCUGGCAACACCUGAAGCCGGUAUCCUAACCGCAAGGAGGGAGCCGUCAAAGGUGGGGCUGGUGACUGGGACGAAGUCGUAACAAGGUAACC